GGGCAGCUCUGGGAGUCGAUGACAGCGUCGCAUUGAGAUUAUGCUGAUGGUUGCAUAGCUGUAGAAAUGAAUGGCAACCCUUAGAACCAUGUGCGCUUGAAGAUUAGCGUGCCCAGCGUGCAUCGCAGGGUGUGUAACUGCACCCCAGUGAAGCUGUGACACCAACAGAAAAGCUCAGCCCGAAAAAGGAGGCGCAGGGCUGGAAGGUGUGCAGAGCCCGGAGAGGUCUCGGACUUUGCAUUUCCAGUGGACGUGGUUCAGGGCCGGAAGGUGUGCAGAGCCCGGAGAGGGCUCAGACUUUGCAUUUCCGGUGCACAUGGUGCAGGGCGGGAAGGUGUGCAGAGCCCGGAGAGGGCUCGGACUUUGCAUUUCCGGUGCACAUGGUGCAGGGGGGGGUGGGCGGAGGGGGAGCAUCGGUGCCAUGUGCAGGGCGGGAAGGUGUGCAGAGCCCGGAGAGGGCUCGGACUUUGCAUUUCCGGUGGGGGGGGGGGGGGGGGGGCGGACUUUGCAUUUCCGGUGCACAUGGUGCAGGGCGGGAAGGUGUGUAGAGCCCGGAGAGGGAGCAGACUUUGCAUUUCGGGUGCCGACAGCAGGGCCAGAAGGUGCGCAGAGCCCGGAGAGGGCUCAGACUAUGCAUUCCCGGUGCUUCCUGGGGCUGCCACAGGUUUGGUGUUGGGCUUCUUCAAACAUUCAGUUCUGGCCAGGCGCCAUGGCUCACGCCUGUAAUCCCAGCACUUUGAGAGGCCAAGGCAGGAGGAUGGCUUGAGCCCAGGAGUUUGAGAUCAGCCUGGUCAACAGAGCAAUAUCCUAAUCUCUACAGAAAAUUAGACAGGUAUGGUGACACGCACCUGUAGUCCCUGCUAGUGGGGGGCUGAAGUGGGGAGGAUCGUUUGAGCCUGAGAGUUUGAGACCAGCCCAGGCAACAUGGUGAAACCCCAUCUCUACAAAAAAUACAGAAAUUAGCCAGGCGUGGUGGUGCACACCUGAAAUCCCAGCUACUUAAGAGGCUGAGGUGGGAGGAUCGCUUGAGCCCCGGAGGUCGAGGCUGCAGUGGGCUAUGAUUGCACCACUGCACUCCAACCUGGGCAACAGAGCCAGACCCUGUCUAAAAAACAGAAACAAAUAACCCCAUUCAUUUCGACAGGGAAACGCUAGCAGCUGCGGAGCUAAUAGUGUUUGCAAGCUAGGAUACGGCAAUUCUCAGCAAGAAACAUUGCGAUUUCUGAUCUCCCGUGGGCCCCUUUGGAAAGACUGCCUGUGAUGGGGUCAUCGUUCCCCAUGACCUGUCCCAGAAACACGUGUCCCAUGGUGGGGUUCUGUGAGAACAGCUCCCUGGCAGGCAGGCUGUGGGCUGGUGGGGCUGCCCACUAAGCCCCCAGGGCCUGGAUCGGAGCUGCUAGAUCCUCUUUGGGCACUGGUGGAUGUAGGCACCUCCUGCCCCAGACGUAACAAGUGACCACUGAUGUAGAACGGCUUCUCCCACACAGUUAUUAUCUGACAGCGCUGAAGCUCAGAAGUCUAACAUAGGGCCGGGCGCGGUGGCUCACUCCUGUAAUCCCAGCACUUCGGGAGGUCGAGGUGGGCGGAUCACCUGAGGUCAGGAGUUUGAGACCAUCCUGGCUAACAUGGUGAAACCCCAUCUCUACUAAAAAUA
rnacentral:sRNA from 1 species